ensembl:lncRNA
UUUUGUUCACAGAACUAACAGCACAACAAGCACAACAAAAGUUAUUGAAAUGGAACAAAUCAGAAAAAGCUUGCAAAGCAUUACAAAGAUUGUACAGUUUACCGCCCCCUAGAGGAAGAUAUUGCACUUGUUUUGACCAAGUUUGACAUUCAGAAGUUUAAAUAAAUCAAUUUAGAAUACAUACAGUUUAUGUAAAUUUAAAGGGGUGUGUCUUGUUAUUUGUUCAAAGAACUAUAGAAGAUUUCUGAGGCUGAAUCUCUGACAAAUGUCAAACGUCAAACGUUGAACCAACUUCAUAUCGGUGACUAGCAUUGUGUAUCUGAGUGAACGCAGAUCUGUUUCUCUCAGGAUCCGUUCAGCUGAAUUAUUGAGUUUGUUUGUCAUUUCUAUUCAGAGUCAGUGCUGGAUAUCAGAUUCCGUUUCAUCAUGGAGGAAACACAAACUUCCACAGAUGAAGAGUUUUCUCCAGGAUGCAGUUCAUCAGAAGAGAUCAGAAGCAGAGUCCAGCUGUUUGUCUAUGAAGAGUAACGCGUCUAUGAGUCGUAUAACAGAAUUUAAGAGUGUAGAUACAAAGACUGAUGACAGUGUAUGCUGGCGUGGAGAACAGACGCACAAGGAGGUUAUAAAUCAAAAGAGGAGUUUAAUGAACAUCAAAAACAUCAGAGGUAACAAACAAUCGCGGACCAGGAGGAACCAAACAGACAGGGUUUUAAACACAAGGGAGGUAAUCUGGGGAAUUGAGAACAGGUGGGGAUUAAUCAAUCAACUAAACAAGAAGCAGGACAUGACCAAAAUAGGGAAACAGAAAGUCCAUGAACGUAACAGUUCGCCCCCUCUCGGAACGGUGCGUCCUGGCACCGAAAGAGAAAUUCCAGCGGAGGGAGGGUGGGGGUUCUGGAGGCGGGCGUGGGGAAGAAAAGGG